rnacentral:lncRNA from 1 species
CAAAUUCUGCAAGUUUUCUUGUAAAUUUGGCCAAGUACUGCAGAAUUCCUGGAAGACUGCAGAAUACACAUACUCAGAACCAAGAAUGAAGAGACGUUGCGAGCCAUCCCCACUAUGCAGGGCACCAACGGGCUGCCGCAGCCCACUCACAACCUCCUGAAUACAGAAGCAGUUGUGUUUGUGCUUUCUAAACAAAUUAAAGAAAACCGUGUAAAAGAAUUCUUUGCAAUAGUCUUUGCAGAGCAGAGGAAGUACUAGGUCUCUUUCCAAGACUUCUCUCUCAUGCGGCGGGGAGGGGCGGCUAGCCGCGACGGCGGCGGACGGAGGGGGAGGGCCGCGAGCCUUCGGAACCAGCCUCGAGGGUGCUGAACCCCGCGCGCCCGCCUCGCCGCGGCCCCCGGGUGGGGGCGUCCACGGCCCGGGUUCCCGGCGGGCUUGGGGCAGGGACGCAGUCCGGAGAUUCCGGGACUGCCCGGCUGCUGCAGCCCGCAGGCUCCUCUCUCCUCCCCGCUUCCCCUCCGCACUGCCUGGGCUAAAGGCGGCCAAGCUGAGGCUCCGAAAGAAGAGGCAGGGGGACAUCCCAGAUGCCGUUGAGUAGGCUGAGAUGGUUUGGAGACUCAUCCUCGCCGGAGGUCCUGCAAGCCACUGAAGUGGCACAGACGCGUGUGCGCGGAGUGGGGCGGUGUGUCGGGCCACAGGCCAAGCCCAAGUCGGCCUCCCAGAGUGUUUGCCACGGUUUGGGCGGAGGGAAAAUUGCAACCCUUGCCUACAACCAGACUGACAGCAUAAUUUCUUAGGAAUCAAGAAUCAAUACAGGGUUAUUUCUUUAGAUUAAACCUUAAAAGCCCCCUUGGAGGCUGAAGAAGCAGAGGAUAGCCAUGCAUACACUUGAACGUGAAAAAUGGUCCUCUUUCAUUGGAGAGGUCUUCCUCUUCAGCUAAACCGACAGAGUGGUGAAAAGAAGAAGGGACCCCUUGUUGACCAAAAUAAUCCAGACAAAUCAAAUCGGCCCUUUCCAGCAAGGAGUGGAACAGCCCAAGGGUGGCUAGAUCACAUCUUCUGCUCACACCACCACUGAGCAACCCUCUCCAGGACUGCCACCUAUGCAUAGGUCAUGCCCUGUGCAAGAGCACAUAAAGUGGGAGCUGAAGUCCUGCCCAGGCUCCAUUCACCAAGCAGAGCUUAUGUUGUUGUGUGUCUGUGUCUACCCAGAGGAUGUGGGUCCUUUUUAAAAUGUGCACCAAUGCAUCUUGUAUGAGCUGGCACCAGCUCGGACCAUCCCACCCUCAUACCCUGGUCCUAUCCAGGGUUAUAUUCCCUACUUUAGAAGAAUUAAUUAUUUUUAUGAACGUAUUUAGUUUAUUGUAAAAAAUGAAAUAUAUGACACAAAUUGAAAUUAAUUUCAGAGGUAAAGGUCAGAAUAUUACCAUGUAUGUGAAUUAUGUUUGUAUGUAUAUGUAUAUAUCAAGAGAGUUAUAUGAAUAUACAUUUUUGUGUAUCAGAAGUGAGGACAAUUUAACUUUGUUAAGUGUUUGAAAUAAAAUUAUUUUGAGUUUU